UAGGGAAUCUUCGGCAAUGGACGAAAGUCUGACCGAGCAACGCUGCGUGAGUGAAGAAGGUUUUCGGAUCGUAAAACUCUGUUGUUAGAGAAGAACAAGGACGUUAGUAACUGAACGUCCCCUGACGGUAUCUAACCAGAAAGCCACGGCUAACUACGUGCCAGCAGCCGCGGUAAUACGUAGGUGGCAAGCGUUGUCCGGAUUGAUUGGGCGUAAAGCCAGCGCAGGCGGUUUCUUAAGUCUGAUGUGAAAGCCCCCGGCUCAACCGGGGAGGGUCAUUGGAAACGGGGAGACUUGAGUGCAGAAGGGGGGAGUGGAAUUCCGUGUGUAGCGGUGAAAUGCGUAGUUAUAUGGAGGAACACCAGUGGCGGAGGCGGCUCUCUGGUCUAUAACUGACGCUGAGGCUAGAAAGCGUGGGGAGCGAACAGG
rnacentral:rRNA from 1 species